rnacentral:tRNA from 1 species
GGGGUCAUAGCUCAGCUGGAAGAGCGCUACAAUGGCAUUGUAGAGGUCGGCGGUUCGAUCCCGCCUGGCUCCA